AUUGGGUAUGGUGACGCAUGCCUGUCAUUCCAGCGGCUCAGGAGGCUGAGGCAGGAGGAUCUCAAGUUCAAAGCCAGCCUCAGCAAAAGUGAGGUGCUAAGCAACUCUGUGAGACCCUGUCUCUA
rnacentral:sRNA from 1 species